UCGACAACUGAAUAGCAGUUACAGAUUUGAGUAAAAUUACGGUUCAUAUACCCGCAGGAUGGAAGUCACAGUCAUCAUAUCAGUAGACUGAUGGAUUGAGAGAUGAAGGGCGAGAGGUUUGUCCUGGUCCACGCAAGGCAGAUAGGGGAGAUAGUGCUUCUCUUAUGAGAAGGGCGUCGUGAACACAGUUAAGUGGCUCGUCUGUAGCUCCCGGAGGUGAGUACACCUCUACGUAUAUGGGGCGAUGAGGGGUCAAGAAGACUGGCAUAUACCUUAA
rnacentral:sRNA from 1 species